AUUGAACGCUGGCGGCAUGCUUUACACAUGCAAGUCGGACGGCAGCGGGGUAGUGCUUGCACUACUGCCGGCGAGUGGCGAACGGGUGAGUAAUAUAUUGGAACGUACCGAGUAAUGGGGGAUAACCAAUCGAAAGAUUGGCUAAUACCGCAUACGCUCUGAGGAGGAAAGCAGGGGACCUUCGGGCCUUGCGUUAUUCGAGCGGCCAAUAUCUGAUUAGCUAGUUGGUGGGGUAAGGGCCUACCAAGGCGACGAUCAGUAGCGGGUCUGAGAGGAUGAUCCGCCACACUGGGACUGAGACACGGCCCAGACUCCUACGGGAGGCAGCAGUGGGGAAUUUUGGACAAUGGGCGCAAGCCUGAUCCAGCCAUGCCGCGUGUCUGAAGAAGGCCUUCGGGUUGUAAAGGACUUUUGUUAGGGAAGAAAAAGGAGCGGUUAAUACCCGUUUCUGCUGACGGUACCUAAAGAAUAAGCACCGGCGAACUACGU
rnacentral:rRNA from 1 species